AACGCUCCCAUCCCCACGCAGAGAUUGAUUCACAGACUUGUGUUUGAGUCUUCACUCGUGCAUUCUACUUGCUUUGAAUCUUCGGGCAAGUCGGGAAACCUAAGCCUCAUCCGUAAAAAUGGGAUCAUAAAACUUACCAGGACAAAAGGCAUUUGUCAGGGUUGAUUGCUGAAGCACUGGGUGCACUCAGCUAACUUCCCUGAUCCCUGUGUUGGAAACACCGCAGCCACAGGAUCUUGGAGAGGUGACAAACUGGACCUUUGAAUACCUGGGCCUGGCAGGUAUUCUGACCCCAUCCAGCCUGUGAGCUUCCCUUCCCGGAGCCAACGUGGUCCUUCAUAAGGAAAACAACUUCUGAGAGUGAAUGUUUUGAGCUACCAGUCACUUGAGAGGGGGAAAAAAGCUCAUACCCACAGGAAAGACUUUUCUGUUGCCAUGGCAACAGGUCACCACCACAACCGGUUUGAAGCUAUUUAGUCAAGGACAAUCCAUCUCCCUUCAGCUGAACAGUUUUUCUCAGUGACUAGGCAUUUUAUAGCCAGCCAAUCAGUAAUAGCCAUACUGGUUGACCAACCAAUCUCUAAACACUACCUCCCUUGAUAUGUUCCCGCCAUUAAUCUUCAACCACCUAGCACCUUAUAUAAGAUCAGUGCCCUGCUCCACCCACAGGGAUUGCACCCAACAGGCCCAGCUCCACCUCCCUUAAGUAACUACUGUAGUAAAUGCAGCUUUUUCGUUCA